AUGGAUUUACAUGAUAACAAUAUGUCAGGAGCACUGGACAUUUCAUUAUGGAAUCUUCCUUCACUGGAAGCUUUGAGCCUAGCUAGAAAUAGUUUAACAGGUGACAUUCAUCCAGAAAUUUGUAAAUUAACAAGUAUUUGGAUGUUAGAUCUAUCGGAUAACUAUUUUCUAGGGCUUAUACCACACUGCAGCAGUACAUUACCACUCCAGUUUCUAAGUAUAUCUGGGAAUUCACUAUCAGGCUCUCCAAAUGCAUUUUUCAACACAGCUCCUUCAUUACAGCUUUGGAUCUCAGCCGGAAUCAGUUCGCAGGCAACCUUGAGUGGACACGAUAUCUUUCUGAAAUCAGGCUACUGUUGUUAG
rnacentral:rRNA from 1 species